GAUAAGCCCGGGAAACUGGGUCUAAUACCGGAUACAACCACUGGUCGCAUGAUUGGGUGGUGGAAAGUUUUUCGGUUGGGGAUGGGCUCGCGGCCUAUCAGCUUGUUGGUGGGGUGAUGGCCUACCAAGGCGACGACGGGUAACCGGCCUGAGAGGGCGACCGGUCACACUGGGACUGAGACACGGCCCAGACUCCUACGGGAGGCAGCAGUGGGGAAUAUUGCGCAAUGGGCGGAAGCCUGACGCAGCGACGCCGCGUGAGGGAUGACGGCCUUCGGGUUGUAAACCUCUUUCAGCAGGGACGAAGCUAACGUGACGGUACCUGCAGAAGAAGCGCCGGCUAACUACGUGCCAGCAGCCGCGGUAAUACGUAGGGCGCAAGCGUUGUCCGGAAUUAUUGGGCGUAAAGAGCUCGUAGGCGGUUUGUCGCGUCUGUCGUGAAAGCCCACGGCUUAACCGUGGGUCUGCGGUGGAUACGGGCAGACUAGAGGCAGGUAGGGGAGAAUGGAAUUCCCGGUGUAGCGGUGAAAUGCGCAGAUAUCGGGAGGAACACCGGUGGCGAAGGCGGUUCUCUGGGCCUGUACUGACGCUGAGGAGCGAAAGCGUGGGGAGCGAACAGGAUUAGAUACCCUGGUAGUCCACGCCGUAAACGUUGGGCGCUAGGUGUGGGGUCCUUCCACGGAUUCCGCGCCGCAGCUAACGCAUUAAGCGCCCCGCCUGGGGAGUACGGCCGCAAGGCUAAAACUCAAAG
rnacentral:rRNA from 1 species